GGCAUUUCUAAGUAUAGUAAGCAAACAAAACCCUUCACAAAUUUGAGUUCAGUAAGCAAACCCUUCAACAAGAAGCAAACAAAACCAUUUGGAAACCCUUCAACGCCGUUCAAACCCUUCAACGCCGUUCAAACCCUUCAACGCCGUUCGUCGUUCAACGUCGUUCGUCCUUCAACGCCGUUCAACGCCGUUCAAACGUCGUUCGCCGUUCAACGCCGUUCAAACGUCGUUCGCCGUUCAACGCCGUUCGUGUUCGCCGUUCAACGCCGUUCGUGUUCGCCGUUCAACGCCGUUCGUGUUCGCCGUUCGCCGUUCGUGUUCGCCCUCUCUACCCUCUCUGCCAUCACUGUCUUUUGUGUUCUCCCUCUCUGCCACUUCAAAUCAACGUCGUUCGCCCUCUCUUCCAGUACCGUUUUUAUUUUGCUUGGAUUCUGAUUUUGUUUUGCUUGGAAUCUGAUUUUGUUUUGCUUGGAAUCUGAUUUUGUUUUGCCUGGAAUCUGAUUUUGUUUUGCUUGGAAUCUGAUUUUGUUUUGCUUGGAUAUUGUUUACUUGGAUAUUUUUGCUCCCAAAUCAGCCGGUUCUGUUUUCAAAACAUAGGCAUAAAGUGGUCAUAUUACAAAAGUAGGUUUUUCUAAAUUUUAUUUCAGCUUGAUGCACUGCAAAUAAUAUUUAAUGCCAUGUUGCAAUCAUUAAUUUAAAUUAAAGCACAAUAAAGAAUAAGAUUAUUCUAAAUCUAUAACCAGAGUCAGAAUAGUUACCUUCAUGAUGCUCAUCAGAAGUAGGAAAAUUGGAGGUAGGAGUAUUCUCUAAAUUAAAGUUGGCAUGCGAUCCUAGUCCAGUGUUGUUAGAUACAGAAACAGAUUCAAUUGUUUCAGAAAUAGCACUGUCACUAGUAAUCUCCUCCCGUGAAACUUGGGCUGCAUCUAAUUCACAGUUCCUGUGUAAACUUUCAGCAGUACCAUGCAAGUUAGGAUGCUCAAAUAGACCAUUAGCAUUUGAUGAAGACGUUAGCACUUGUUGAUUUCCAGUGAUUGGUUGUUUGAUUACAGGCCACUCAUCAUGAAAACCUUGUUGUUCAGAACUAUUUUGACAGUGCAGACUCAAACUGGACUCUGAAGUUUCUAAUCGUAUAAUUAUAUUAUGUCACCUCUACUUGUGCUCCCUCUUGAAGUUGUGAGAAGCCAAAUGUUUUACUAAUCAGUAACAGAUGAAAAGGAGAAACAACUUACUGCAAAUGUGUUAGGAAGAAGAAAUGACUGGGAGCAAUUAUGUCAUUAUUUAUAGUUUUCUAUUUGAGUAGGAAACAUUUCAAGGUAAGUUGCAACAAGCCUCUAAAGGUGGGGAAACAUCUAAUAGUUGUAGUCAAGUGGUUAAUGCGGAAGCUCGCUUAGACAUGUGGGUCCAAUCUGUUGGGGGAAGAAUAAAGGGAGGAUCUAUGGUGCUGGAGAUAGAUCCUCGCUUUAUAGACCAGGUGUUGCAAGUCUAGUUCCAACUUCUCGUCCAUCUAGAGGUUGCGCCAAUUUCUUGUCUCAACAAUUUAAUGAGAUAGCUGCACAGAUAGCAGCAUUUGAGGAGCGAGCAAAAGCGGCAGAACACGAGGCACGAGAGGCGCGAGAGGAGCUAAGGAAAGUUGAGCAACGUCGACAAGAGGAAGUUCAACAAACAGAGCAACGCACUACAAAACUACAGAUGCAGCUAGCAACAUUGGCAAAAAGUGUUGCUUCCAUACAGGCUGAGUCAUCCCGUCGUCGUCAUCAUCCAGAUUAUGACGAGGAUGAGUCUAACGAUGAUGACGGCGAGGAGUAAUACUGGUUUCAGUUUCAGUUUCGUAUAGUAGUUAUGACUACUUAUUUUGUUUAGACUUGUAGGCAUUAUUUCGUACACUAGUGUCGUUAUGUGUAUUUUGAAACUUAUGGCAGUAACAAUGUACUUAUUUUGAAACUUAUGACAGUAACAAUUGUCCUUAUUUUGAGACUAAUGGAAGUCCGAAUGUGUAAUUUGAAAACACUAUUUACAUAA